AGUGAACGCUGGCGGCAGGCCUAACACAUGCAAGUCGAGCGGCAGCGCGGGGGCAACCCUGGCGGCGAGCGGCGGACGGGUGAGGAAUUCGUCGGAAUCUGCCUUUUUGUGGGGGAUAACGUAGGGAAACUUACGCUAAUACCGCAUACGUCCUACGGGAGAAAGUGGGGGACCGCAAGGCCUCACGCAGAAAGAUGAGCCGACGACCGAUUAGCUAGUUGGUGGGGUAACGGCCCACCAAGGCGACGAUCGGUAGCUGGUCUGAGAGGAUGAUCAGCCACACUGGGACUGAGACACGGCCCAGACUCCUACGGGAGGCAGCAGUGGGGAAUAUUGGACAAUGGGCGCAAGCCUGAUCCAGCAAUGCCGCGUGUGUGAAGAAGGCCUUCGGGUUGUAAAGCACUUUUGUCCGGAAAGAAAUCCCUGGAGCUAAUACCUUCGGGGGAUGACGGUACCGGAAGAAUAAGCACCGGCUAACUUCGUG
rnacentral:rRNA from 1 species